GCACCGGCAACUUCCGUGCCAGCAGCCGCGGUAAUACGGAGGGUGCGAGCGUUAAUCGGAAUUACUGGGCGUAAAGACGCAUGCAGGCGGCCGUCGUUAAGUCAGAUGUGAAAGACCCGGGGCGUUAACCUCGGAAUUGCAUUUGAAACUAGGCAGGCUAGAGUCUUGUAGAGGGGGGUAGGGAAGUUUACUAGGUGUAGCGGUGAAAUAGCGUAGAGAUCUGAAGGAAUACCAGUGGCGAAGGCGGCCCCCUCGGACAAAGACUGACGCUCAGAUGCGAAAGCGUGGGGAGCAAACAGGAUUAGAUACCCCUGGUAG
rnacentral:rRNA from 1 species